rnacentral:rRNA from 1 species
CGAAGGACGAACGCUGGCGGCGUGCCUAACACAUGCAAGUCGAACGAGGUCCAUCCUUCGGGAGAAGACCUAGUGGCGAACGGGUGAGUAACACGUGAGGAACCUGCCCCGAAGACCGGGAUAACCCUCCGAAAGGAGAGCUAAUACCGGAUACCCCCACCGAACCGCAUGGUUUGGUGAGGAAGUGGAUUCCGCUUCGGGAGGGCCUCGCGGCCUAUCAGCUAGUUGGUGGGGUAACGGCCCACCAAGGCAUCGACGGGUAGCUGGUCUGAGAGGACGAUCAGCCACACUGGGACUGAGACACGGCCCAGACUCCUACGGGAGGCAGCAGUGGGGAAUCUUGCGCAAUGGGCGAAAGCCUGACGCAGCAACGCCGCGUGGGGGAUGAAGGCUCUCGGGUUGUAAACCCCUUUCAGCAGGGACGAAUCAAGACGGUACCUGCAGAAGAAGCCCCGGCUAACUACGUG